rnacentral:rRNA from 1 species
UGGGGAAUCUUGGACAAUGGGGGAAACCCUGAUCCAGCCAUGCCGCGUGAGCGAUGACGGCCUUAGGGUUGUAAAGCUCUUUCACCGGUGACGAUAAUGACGGUAGCCGGAGAAGAAGCCCCGGCUAACUCCGUGCCAGCAGCCGCGGUAAUACGGAGGAUGCAAGCGUUAUCCGGAAUGAUUGGGCGUAAAGCGUCUGCAGGUGUCUAUGCAAGUCUGCUGUUAAAGAGUGGAGCUCAACUCCAUAAGGGCAGUGGAAACUGCGUAACUAGAGUACGUUCGGGGUAGAGGGAAUUCCUGGUGUAGCGGUGAAAUGCGUAGAUAUCAGGAAGAACACCGGUGGCGAAAGCGCUCUACUAGGCCGUAACUGACACUGAGAGACGAAAGCUAAGGGAGCGAAUGGGAUUAGAUACCCGCGUAGUCC